rnacentral:rRNA from 1 species
GAUGAACGCUAGCGGGAGGCCUAACACAUGCAAGCCGAGCGGUAUUUGUUCUUCGGAACAGAGAGAGCGGCGCACGGGUGCGGAACACGUGUGCAACCUGCCUUUAUCUGGGGGAUAGCCUUUCGAAAGGAAGAUUAAUACCCCAUAAUAUAUUGAGUGGCAUCAUUUGAUAUUGAAAACUCCGGUGGAUAGAGAUGGGCACGCGCAAGAUUAGAUAGUUGGUGAGGUAACGGCUCACCAAGUCAAUGAUCUUUAGGGGGCCUGAGAGGGUGAUCCCCCACACUGGUACUGAGACACGGACCAGACUCCUACGGGAGGCAGCAGUGAGGAAUAUUGGACAAUGGGUUAGCGCCUGAUCCAGCCAUCCCGCGUGAAGGACGACGGCCCUAUGGGUUGUAAACUUCUUUUGUAUAGGGAUAAACCUACUCUCGUGAGAGUAGCUGAAGGUACUAUACGAAUAAGCACCGGCGAACUCCGU